rnacentral:rRNA from 1 species
UUGAACGCUGGCGGCAGGCCUAACACCUGCAAGUCGAACGGUAACAGGAAACAGCUUGCUGUUUCGCUGACGAGUGGCGGACGGGUGAGUAAUGUCUGGGAAACUGCCUGAUGGAGGGGGAUAACUACUGGAAACGGUAGCUAAUACCGCAUAACGUCGCAAGACCAAAGAGGGGGACCUUCGGGCCUCUUGCCAUCGGAUGUGCCCAGAUGGGAUUAGCUAGUAGGUGGGGUAACGGCUCACCUAGGCGACGAUCCCUAGCUGGUCUGAGAGGAUGACCAGCCACACUGGAACUGAGACACGGUCCAGACUCCUACGGGAGGCAGCAGUGGGGAAUAUUGCACAAUGGGCGCAAGCCUGAUGCAGCCAUGCCGCGUGUAUGAAGAAGGCCUUCGGGUUGUAAAGUACUUUCAGCGGGGAGGAAGGGAGUAAAGUUAAUACCUUUACUCAUUGACGUUACCCGCAGAAGAAGCACCGGCUAACUCCGUG